CCUGACUGCUAUCGGAUUGAUACUAAGCCAUGCGAGUCAUUGCAGUAAUGCAAGGCAGACGGCUCAGUAACGCGUAGUCAACCUACCCUAUGGACGGGAAUAACCUCGGGAAACUGAGUAUAAUGCCCGAUAGAACACUAUACCUGGAAUGGUUUGUGUUCCAAAUGAAUGUCGCCGUAGGAUGGGACUGCGGCCUAUCAGUUUGUUGGUGAGGUAAUGGCCCACCAAGACUAUUACAGGUACGGGCUCUGAGAGGAGUAGCCCGGAGAUGGGUACUGAGACACGGACCCAGGCCCUAUGGGGCGCAGCAGGCGAGAAAACUUUGCAAUGUGCGAAAGCACGACAGGGUUAAUCCGAGUGGUUUGUGCUAAACGAACCUUUUGACAGUCCUAGAAACACUGUUGAAUAAGGGGUGGGCAAGUUCUGGUGUCAGCCGCCGCGGUAAAACCAGCACCUCAAGUGGUCAGGAUGAUUAUUGGGCCUAAAGCAUCCGUAGCCGGCUCUGUAAGUUUUCGGUUAAAUCUGUACGCUCAACGUACAGGCUGCCGGGAAUACUGCAGAGCUAGGGAGUGGGAGAGGUAGACGGUACUCGGUAGGAAGGGGUAAAAUCCUUUGAUCUAUUGAUGACCACCUGUGGCGAAGGCGGUCUACCAGAACACGUCCGACGGUGAGGGAUGAAAGCUGGGGGAGCAAACCGGAUUAGAUACCCGGGUAGUCCCAGCUGUAACUAUGCAAACUCAGUGAUGCAUUGGC
rnacentral:rRNA from 1 species